rnacentral:rRNA from 1 species
CUUUGGUCAAUUAGAGGAAGUAAAAGUCGKAACAAGGGUUCCGUAGUGAACUGCGGAGGAUCAUUACCGAAUUGUCAACAAGGGUUGUUGCUGGCCUCUGUAUGGGGGCAUGUGCACGCUCUGUUUACACAUCCACUCACACCUGUGCACCCUCUGUAGUUCUAUGGCCUGGGGGGCCCUGUCCUCCUGCUGUGGUUCUACGUCUUCACACACACACCAAAAUAAAGUCUAAUGGAAUGCAUGUCGCGUUUAACGCAAUGAAAUACAACUUUCAGCAACGGAUCUCUUGGCUCUCGCAUCGAUGAAGAACGCAGCGAAAUGCGAUAAGUAAUGUGAAUUGCAGAAUUCAGUGAAUCAUCGAAUCUUUGAACGCACCUUGCGCCCUUUGGCUAUUCCGAAGGGCAUGCCUGUUUGAGUAUCAUGAACACCUCAACUCUCAUGGCUUGCCGUGAUGAGCUUGGACUUUGGGGGACUUGCUGGCCUGUGGUCAGCUCCUCUCAAAUGAAUUAGCCUGCUGGUGUUCGGUGGGAUCACAGGUGUGAUAACUAUCUACGCUUGUGGUUUUCCACCAGGUAACCCUCAGCAAUGGAGGUUCGCCGGAGCUUAUAAAUGUCUCUCCCCAGCGAGGACAGAUUUUGACCGUUGAUCUCAAAUCAGGUAGGACACCCGCUGAACUUAAGCAUAUCAAUAGGCGGGAGGAA